CGUUCCCGGGCCUUGUACACACCGCCCGUCACACCACGAAAGUUGGUAACACCCGAAGCCGGUGGCCCAACCCUUUUGGGAGAGGAGCCGUCGAAGGUGGGAUCAGCGAUUGGGGUG
rnacentral:rRNA from 1 species